rnacentral:rRNA from 1 species
AUUGAACGCUGGCGGCAGGCCUAACACAUGCAAGUCGAGCGAGCGGCGGACGGGUGAGUAAUGUAUGGGGACUGCCCGAUAGAGGGGGAUCACUACUGGAAACGGUAGCUAAUACCGCAUACUAUCGGAUAACCCAUAUGGGAUUAGCUAGUAGGUGAGGUAAUGGCUCACCUAGGCGACGAUCCCUAGCUGGUCUGAGAGGAUGAUCAGCCACACUGGGACUGAGUCACGGCCCAGACUCCUACGGAGGCAGCAGUGGGGAAUAGUGCACGAUGGGCGCAAGCCUGAUGCAGCCAUGCCGCUUGGAUGAAUAAGGCCCUAGGGUUGUAAUGUACUUUCAGUCGGGAGUCGUUACCGACAGAAGAAUCACCGGCUAUCUCCGUGCCAGCAGCCGCGGUAAUUC